rnacentral:lncRNA from 1 species
UCCGCGCAGGAGGCCCCGCAGGCUUGCCGUAGGCCACUUCCGGGACGCGCCCGCCAUCCUGCAGCUUCGCGGCUCCUCGGCAGUAGGUGUGUGCUGCUCAGCGCGGGCUCCCAGGAGCUCGGCUUCGCGGACCGAGCGGGCGGCCACGGGGCAGGACGGCAGGGCGCUGAAGCAGCCCCGCGCCCGGGCCAGCUGAGAGAGUAUCUUAUCAUCAGCACAACAGCCCUGGUGUUGCUACAGGAAUACCUGACGCCAACAGGCAAAUAAUGGCAGUGACCCUGAGACCACUUCUGCUGGCUGCCACUCACCUGACGAUGAAAACAAGCCAAGGCAUCACCAUCAGGCAGCGCUCAGGAGGCAGGUAGAGGCUCAGGCUCACACCAUCGGUGUCCUGGAAAGAGAACUGUAUUUCACGGAGAGUGUGGCCAGGCAGCUAGAAGGAGGGAAUCUGGGCACCCCAUCAUCCUUCAACCUGGCGCUUGGACAGGCUUUUAGGGGGAGUCCCUUGGGCCUCCUCUCAACCGCUCUCCUUCCAGGAGAUGGCAGUUACCUCUCCGAACUCCUGCAACAUGCCUCCCAACACGUGGAGGACUUGAGGCAGGCUCUGAUGUCUCCACACAGAAAAAGGCGGCGGACAGGUGCAAUGAGGAGUUAAAGGAGAUGGAUGGCCUGAGUCUGGAACUGUGCAGGAACACGUAGGAUGGGGGAUGGUG